ACUCCUACGGGAGGCAKCAGUGGGGAAUUUUGGACAAUGGGGGCAACCCUGAUCCACCAAUGCCGCGUGUGUGAAGAAGGCCUUCGGGUUGUAAAGCACUUUUGUCAGGAACGAAACGGCCAAGGCUAAUACCCUGGGCUAAUGACGGUACCUGAAGAAUAAGCACCGGCUAACUACGUGCCAGCAGCCGCGGUAAU
rnacentral:rRNA from 1 species